rnacentral:rRNA from 1 species
UACGAAGGGGGCUAGCGUUGUUCGGAAUUACUGGGCGUAAAGCGCACGUAGGUGGUUUGACAAGUUGGAUGUGAAAGCCCUGGGCUUAACCUGGGAACUGCAUUCAAUACUAUCAAGCUAGAGUAGGGUAGAGGGAAGUGGAAUUUCCGGUGUAGCGGUGAAAUGCGUAGAUAUCGGAAGGAACACCAGUGGCGAAGGCGGCUUCCUGGACUCAUACUGACACUGAGGUGCGAAAGCGUGGGGAGCAAACAGG